AGCGAGAGAGGGAUGCGCGGCGCGCGGGGCGGCGGGGGAGGGAGGCGGCCGGGAGGGUAGGGCCCGGCCCCGUUGCGGCCGCUCGGGGCGGGAAGACCACGGCCGCGCUCCCGCUCGCUCGGAUCGGGGAACUCCCCCGAGAGCCGGUCUCUACUUGUCAUGCAAAAAAACUUGGGCGUCUCUAGGAGCCUAAGAAUUUCCUUUAUGGACGUGGAAACCUCCCCCCCCCCCCCCCGCCCAACUUCCCCAUUUCCCCAUAUAAUCUAAUCUUCCCUGUCUUGAUGACAAACGGAAUUAUAUAAUAAUUAGUAUUGUCAUUAUGAUUUUGUCCGUGUACCUCUGAUCCCUUUCUUCUCCCUCGCCCCCCCCCCCCCCCGCCCCACGGUUAUGUUAGGGUCAAGAAAAAAAAAAAAAAAUCAGACUAGCUCCUGGCUGCAUUUCUGGAGCUUUGCAAAGCUUUUUACUAGCACUUUCCGUGCCCCUGCGGAAGCACGAACUUUUCACGCGUUUGAAAUGCCCCAAUUGCCUUCCCUGGGGUCACUCGCCAGGGCGCCCUGGGCGCACCCAGCUCCGGGCACGCGGCCCGCCCUCGCGGGGCUAUUCAAAUUGCCUUGGGCAACGGCGCGGGGAACCGCUGCCGGUUUCUUGGUGGGCCGCGCCGGGACCCGGGGCUAGCGGCUGCCUCCAGCCCGCACGCUUCCCUCGCCUCGGAAGAGACGCGAGUGAAAUCGCAGCCCGCGCGGGGAGAGCGGGGCCCGGGGACCGGGGAAUCCCAGAAAACCUCCAGAGACCAAACCAGCAAUGGUAAACUGUGCACUCAGCCCUAGGAGGCUCUAAGGAAAGUGAGGCUCUGUGGGGCUUAGCUGACUCAUCUUGGGCACCCAGAUGGAGCAUCAGCAGUGAGAGCCGCACCCACCCUGCUCCCAGGAAUCUGAUGUCUUCAUGCUGGCAGCUCAGCUGAGCACGCCUCCCUGAAGCCUCUCCGCUUCCAAAAUGGUUACUACCUUUUUUCUUCAGCUUCCUUUUUCAUCAAGCUCACAUCGACUCAAACCUGAUGAUCUCAGAGAGAUGUAAACAGAAAAGCCAACUAAUCAAGCCUCAAGUGUGAAUAACUGCUUUUUCUUUCCUGGGAUUUUGCAUCUUAAGCAUGUUAACCCAUAUUCAUCUACAAUUAGUGGAAUCCCCAAGGAAUUUACAGGGGACUGAGGUUACAGGGUGCGGAUAUAUGGGCAACAGACUUCUCUUCAUUCUUUUAACUUUUCAACUCACAUGAAAGCUCCCUUCCCUUUUGGUGAGGGCCAAUCUCUAGAGGCUCUGCAUUUAUUUCCCAAGAAGAGUUACUGCUUAGGGAUUAGCAGUCACUUCCAGCUGCCAUCAUGAGUCUGACACCAAGAAUGGAGCUUUGUUCGUGGAGCAUGAAAGCAGCUUGAAGAGUCCUGCUGAUUGGCAUAAACCCAUGAGGAAAUAAAAAUUUUUCAUUCAUGUGCGCGCACACACACACACAAUGUAGGAUUUUUUUUCCUCAUCCGUAGGCAGACACAAUUCCAAUUGCAUUGGGCACUAUUUCAUCUUUCUGGUAUUUGAAUAUAGGAAAAUACAGGUGUGAUUGGGGCUUGGUUAAAUCCUGAAUUAUCAAGUGGCAUGCGUAGAUGCUACAAGCUUCAAGUUUGGUCUUUGGUUAACUUACUCUCUAGAGGUCUCAGAAUCUUGGGGAAAAUGAGUACUCUGUGUAAAUGUUAUUUAUGUUUGCUGAAUAUGUGUAUUUACAAGGAUUCUUUUCAGGGCAGUGUUCACAAAUUGUUGCAAUGUAUCAUUUUUGUUAAUUGCAUUGUAUACACUUACACAUAAUUUAUUGGUAGAAAUAAAUUGAUUUAUGCUUUAUUUUAUUUUUUUGCACCCCUUUCCUGGGGUUUAACCAGGAACCAGGAAGAUCAAAGUGUUCUAGGAACACAGAACCACACGUUUCCUCAGUCUGAGCACAGAACCAUGAAGGUAGCAAGACUUGUACAUUACGUUCUCAAGAGCUAAAGGAAGGAGGGAUUUACCAAACUGCUUAUGUGAAAAAAAUUAUGAGGUAGACCUUAAUAGAAUAGCCUCAACUUUCUUCAAUGUGGAUAAUCCACCUCUUGCCUCCACAAUACUGCUAAAACAAUUCACAGGCUAAUUCACCAAUUAACUUCUAACGGUCAUGUUCUAAGGCUUCAUUUUAGUCCUGAUAGUAUGCAGUUGGCACAUUCUCUUAUUGACCCUUCAGUUUUGGGGUUCCCAUCCAUUGUCGUCUACUCUCACUCUUCUUCAAAGUUCUCAAGGUGGAAACCCACAAACUGGAUAAAGUACACAGGUUUAUACAAUUUGGGCUCAAUAGUGUUGCAGGCAAAUUUAAGAAACAAUAUAUAAAACCUGAAAUCUUCACUUAUUCAUUUGGAUUUUCCAAGUUUUGAAAAACGGAAAGAUCUGACAACCCUAGACCAACAUUUAUGCAGGGCAAUGAUUUGUCGGAAGUAAAUGGAAGUUGCUCCAUAGAGAUUGGACGCUUGGUCUCCAGUUGCCAUGGUCCUCACUUCUCCUCGUUGCCUUAAAUCCCUGACCCACCCCUUUAACUCGUUCACAUACGUGAGCAUUUGCAACUAUUUCUCGUAUAUUUACCCUGUGUGAUUUCAUCCUUUCUUACGGUUUGAACUCCCUGACUCUAAAAUUUGACUCCAGAACACAUUUGUAAACACCAAAUAAUAUCUCUGUUCCUCCAAAAUGUACUUAUAGAUUCCUCAUUCUCAACGUCCCAAACCAAGCACAUUACUUUUCUUAUAAGCCACCAAAUUUGCUUCUCCUCUAGUUCCUGUAUAGUUAAUAGCGUUGUCAUCUGUUAUAGUGAGUUUUAUGUAUCAACCUGCCUAGGCUCUAUUCCCUGAUUAUUCAAAUAAACACUCCUGCUGAGAAGAUAUUUUGUACAUGUGGCUUAAUAUCUGCAAUCAGAUGACUUUAAGUAGAGGAGAUGAUCUUUGAUAAUCUGAGUGGGCCUCAUUUAACCAGUUGCAAAGCCUUGAGAGCGAAACUACGACUUCUCUGAAGAACUUCAGCCUUACAGUAGCAACAGCAACUCCUGCCAGAGGGUUUCCAGCCCGCUGGCCUGCCCAACACCAUUCUGACUUGCCAGCACCCACAGUUUCCCUGCUUCUGUUUCUCUGGAGAGCGCUGACCUAUAAGGUUCCAGGUGGUUCUGCCAUCGACACCUUUGCUGCAAGCAUUUUCGCCAAAAAUGAAUUGGCCAUAAGGCAAAUCUGCCAUAAAAGAUAAAAAUCACACACACACAGACACACACACACACACACAAAAUAUAAGAGGGACUUCAUGUCCUUUUUAAUAAAGAACAUAAUGAAACAUGAAAACUUCAUGUUUAAUAAUAAUUAAUAAAUAAUUAUUAGUUUAUUCCUGCAUCUAAACAUGUAUCAGUUUUCCAAAUACUAGGAUGCAUAUUUGUUACUGAGCUUUGUGAGAGCCUACGUUGUUGUUUGUUCUUGGCGUAUUGUCACAUGUCCGUCGAUAGACAUCCCGAAGUUCCAUUGGAAAUGUGGAAGAAAUGCUAACACUGUCAUGCAUUUGUAACUGAGGUUUGUGAUCAUCUUAAAUGGUAUGUUAUCAUUUCCCAUAUAGUACGCAAUAUAGCUUUAUAAGCUCUUAUUCACACUUACAGAGAGUUUUAUCACUGUAUUUUUUAAGUCGAUAUAUGUAGUAGUUAACUACCAUUUUAAGACCACUGUGUCUACUCGUCACUGUAUAGACCAUUAUGAAGGCUGGCUAAGAUUUGUGUAAUGUAAAAAUGGGAACUUUGUCAAUGGAGAAAUGAAACCAAACUGACAACUAGCUUCAAUACAGUAAUUCUGCUGAAGAUGGUUGUUUUGUAACGGUGAAAUGAAACCAAACUGUCUCCCCAUUAUUUUAUCCCCCUAUGGCAAAAUUGCCUUACGGCCAAUUAGUUAUGUGGUAAAAAUGUUUGUGGUAACAAUGUUUGCAGUGAAAAUGCUUGUGGCAAAAAUGUUUACCACAAAGAUGCUAACAGUGAAAAUGCCAGACACUACUGAUACUCCAUCCACCUAGAUAAGCAAUGUUAAGAAUAUAAGAGACUUCCUUAAUGCUUCCUCCUUCUUAUGGCUUUCAUCUGUCACACCCCUUUCAAAUUAUUCUUUAAAAUAAUGAUCAGAUAUGAUUUAUAAUUCUAUAACUCAGAUCUUUUCCCUAUUGCUUAGAGAUCAAAAUCUAGACUCCUAAGUAGGGUACACAUGGAUAUUCAUUUUCUGGUUCCUGCAUACUUCUCCAGACUCAUCUCUUUGCUGAGCUACCUACUUCCCUUGUACCUACUGUCUAAAUGGAAAUGCUUCCAUAUUUUUAACAUACCUUUAUAUUCUAUUCCUCUAUGCCUAAGCUGCUCCCACGACCUGAAAUAUCCUUCUUUAUAGAGCACCUGGCAAAAAUCUACUUAACUUUCAAGACAUGGUUGAAAUGUUUUCUCUUCUGUGAAACCUCCCCACCCUCCCCUUUUCCCAGCAGAAUUGAUCCACUCUUCCUUGGUACCCCAGCCUCCUCUUGCAUGCUUCACCCAUGUAGAGCCAUAAUAUAGGAAUGUAGUUCAUUUGCUCGUUCAUAUGUUUGUCCUGUGUUAAACUGUGACGCUUAAUUCAUUAUGUAAUUUAGGAGAGCCUUGUGGCAACAACUGCUAAUGACCCCAUCAAUAUCCAUUCUCCUCUUCUGCAGUAAUAGAACUUCUACCUAGGCACAUGGCCAGCUAGAACAAAGGUUACAUUUUCAGCCUUCUCUACAACUUGGUGUGGCUAUGUGACUGAGCUCUCACCGAUGGAAUCUAAGUGACUGUGUCCUAUGCCAACAUCUAAGAACCACCAGAGGCAGUUUUCACCAGCUCUUUGCCCUUUAUACUUCCCUUCUCCCAACUUACUCUUUGGAACAUGGAUGUGAUGACUGAAGUUCUAUCUUGGUUCUUGAAAAAAAAACAAAAAACAAAAAACAAAACCUACUCUUGGCAUGGUCAAGUAGAAAGCUGCAGGAGCCUGGGUCCCUGAGAACUUUGUACAGCAAAGCCGCUAGACCAGCCCUAGCUUACUCACCUCUGCACUUUUACCCAGGGAACAAAUGAAUUUUCACCAUAUUUAAGCUGCUCUUUCAGAGAAAGCAGAUGUAUCACUCACAACCACAUAAAAUUCUAAUAUAUGAAUGGUUCUGGCAAUGUCUUCAAUCAACACUCUUUAAGCUUUUAAAUUAGGAAUGAUGCCUAAAGAUUUGUUACUGGGUCCCAGUCGGAGAGGGGCUCAUAAUCUCAAAAUCGAGCUGGCUGGGUUUUAAAGCUUGCUUGCAAUGUUUACAUGUGGGCUUCCUGUUGUUUGUACAGGGCAUCCUCUGCAUUUCAACCUAUGGACUUGGACUUAGUUUGAGCUCCGCUCCCUGGGGAACCCAACCUUUGAUAUAUUGUGCUCCACUUGGCAAGUAUCUGACUGACUAAGCCAGCUCCAUCUCUGACAAGUAGGGAUGAGUUAGCAAAUCAAACAAGGGGGAGGGUGGCUAGGUUAGAGCCAAGACUGAGGUGAGUUCAGAGGCCAUGAGCUGAGUGAAGUGCCAGCAGCAUGGCAAAGAAUUUGAGCCCAUACUUGGUGCACUGGAAAAGCAGGAUCAGGAGAAAAAUAUGCCAGACUGUUGCUAGGGUGAUUUGAUUUGCCUUUUCAAAGGCCUGUUUAUGCCCAGAUGUAUUACGACACAGCAUGACCACUUUCCAACAUGGGUAUAGGAUAUAGACACUCUCAAAUACUCUGUGGGAGUACAAAUUGGAGAAAAUAUGACAAGUCCCUUAGAUAUUUUAAAUGUGCGUUCAUUAGGAGCCAAAGAUUUUUUUAAAAGUGGGUAAGGAGCUCAGAAGAAACACUGGAAACACGUGUCUUUAUAAUUUAAUAUUGUUCAAAAUGUCUUACUUAGGCAAGAAGACAAGCAGACCCACAUUCACAUAUAUCCUCUAUUCCCAACAGUAGUAACAAGAACUAAAUUUAGCAAGAAACACAUAAAACCCAUAUAAAGAAAACUACUAUUUCACUGGAGUUUUUAUGAAGGCUAAAAGUCUCUUUGUUGAUGCCAUCAUUCUGAUGUAUAGAAAACCAAAAGAAAUAACUGAUAGCUUAACAUUAGAGAUCAGUAAUAUGGCUAGAAGUAAAGGAAAUACAUAGAAAUAAUUAUACAUGGCAAUAUUAAUUACAGAAUGUAAUGGGGGAAAGGUAGAAUUUAAAUCAAUGAAUAACUGAUUAAUCAAUAAAUAGUUUUGGGAAAUUUUGAUAGCCAAAAUAGGAAAAUAAAAUUAUAUUCUUUCCUCACAUGGCAUACACACAACCCAGAUGAUUUAAAUAUGCAAAUAAAAGGGUGCCUGGAUAGCUCAGUCGGUUAAGCGUCUGCCUUUGGCUCAGGUCAUGAUCCCAGGACCCUGGGAUGGAUCCCCGUGUAGUCGGGCUCCUUGCUCUGCGGGGAGCCUGCUUCUCAUUCUCCUCCCUGCUCAUGCUCUCUCUCGCUAUCUCUAUCUCUCUCUCAAAUAAAUAAAUAAAAUCUUUUAAAAAUAUGCAAAUAAAGAAUAUGAAGAAUAAAAUAUGGGAGACUUGGAGCGCUAAAACAAAAUAUAGGAGACUAUUUUUUGAUAUGAAAAAUGCCUAUUGAGACCCUCAGUAAAAAGUUCAAAACUGAAAGAGAUCUUGACAGUCAAUGAACAUGUGUAUGUUCUCCCUCUAAGUAGGCCCUAUCCUUUGCCAGCCUUUCUGUUCUCUUAUUUUAUGGAUAUUUUAUGGAUAUGGCAGGCAAAAUCUGCCUGGCUUUUCCUGACAUUUGCAUACAUCUGAACUUAUUUGACGAGAUUACGUCUGGCUUUAUAGAGAAGUGGGGAGAAGGCAGAAAGAGAGAGAGACAGAUGGAGACACAGCGAGAGUGAUUUACAUGGAAAAGAAGGAAGACAGUGAUUCAGAUGUGGUGAGGGCUGCUUGGGGCAGCGCCCCGAUGAACCAAUCCCCAGCUCUGGGGUCACAGCUCUUUAAAGAUCGCUGAGUGUGGUACGGAAACAGCAGAAUCAUCAGACACCAAGGGACCACGAGGCCUCGGAAAACCAGUGUCUCUGCAGUAGCCCUGUGGACAGAAGCCUAGAGCUCUCUGCCACGCUAUAGUAGUUUAAGAACCCUCCAGGGACUACUCAAGACCUUGUGGCUUGGCCUGGGGUCCGAAUUUGAGGGAGAUCCCCAAUUAGGGUGUAAUUUAAUCCCCUCUUCCAUGUGAACAGGAUAGUCCUCUGAGUCUAAUUUGAGUUUCUUUUAAAUAAAUAAAAUAAAUGACAUUUCUUACAUACCCAGGUUUGAACUGACUUGACCAUUGUUAAGCAGCGUGGGGAGAAACAGACAGCACGAGAAAAUAAGCGUAACUAUGCCGGAGGCCUGUUUGACGGUGUGGGUCAACAUGUAAAAUGAGCAUGCUUUGUCACUAGCCAUCUUAAUCCCAGGACUUCACACCAAAGAACUUUCCUUAUUGAGUCAAGUAAAUAGAUGUACUGCAAAACUGCUUAUAAUGGCAAAAAGAUUUUGGGAAACUGCAUGCUUUUUAGGAGACUGAUUAAGUAAGUUAUGAGCUAAAUCAUGUACAUACAUACAAUGGAAUAUUCUGAAGCAAUAAAAGUGAUUAUAUGCUCAAAAUCUUUGGUCACAUCUCUCCUGCCUUCCAAUAUCAGAGCUCCUGGUUCUCAGGCCUUCAAACUCUGGGACUUACACCAGCGGACCCAGUUCUCAAGUGUUUAGCCUCAGAUUGGGAGAUACACCAUUGGUUUUCCUGUUCUGAGGCCUUCAGAUUCAGAGUGAAUUAUACCACCAGCUUCCCUGGUUCUCCAGCUUGUAGAUGACAGACUAUGGGGCUUCUCGGCCUCCAUAACUGCCUGAACCAAUUCCUAUUAUAAAUCUCCUCUUAUCAAUAUCUAAUAUAUCCUAUUAGUUCUGUUGCUCUGGAGAAACUUGACUUAUCCAAGUACUGAUGCUGAUACUUUUCUCCAAAUAAGUCAUAGGUUCCCAGUGGACAUCUCUCUUGUGGGGGCACCAAGCCAUACCCUAGAGAUGUGCAGCAAAAUACUUCAGUGUAAAUUCUCGAAGGGUAUGAUUUCAAGAGAUUUUUACUUUUUCUUAUGCUGAGCUAUAUUUUAAAAUAAGGAACAUGCAUUGUUUUUCCAAAACCCAUAGAAAAAAAAAAAAGAAAGGAAUGUUAACAACGAGAGUUUGCUGGGGUGUAGAGAAUUGAGAGUUUCAUGUACCAUUGGUAUAAUUGAAAAUUGGUAGAGCUUUUUGGAGGGCAAUUUGACAGUUCAAUUUCUAAGAAUGUAUCCUGUAGGAGUAUUUGUACCCUUGCACAAAGAUAUAUGCUCAAUGAUGCCCAUUAUAGGAUUGUUUGUGGUGGCAAAAAUGAAAAAAAUAAUCACUUUUUGUGGUCUAUGUCCUCUAGGCAAAGUCUCCUUAUGAGUCUAGUGUAAGAGUAGGCAAACAAUUAUGUAUUACACAACCAUGAGAAACAGAGGAGAGGGAUCCUUUUCUGUAUGUUGACACAGAAUGUUACAAUAUAUUGUUUAUUUAAAAUAGUAAGUGAAAAACAGUAUGUAGAGUGUGAUCUUAUUUAACAUUACUACAGGCAUGCCUCCUUUUAUUGCAAUUUGCUUUGUUGCACUUCA